rnacentral:lncRNA from 1 species
CAAAAAUUCCAUCUUGAUAGCUUGCUUGAUUCUUGAGAAAAGUGAAGUGAAACUUGAAUCCACUUCGAUUAAUCUUUGUGGAAGCUUGGAAGUGAGCUUGGUGCAACUUUUGGGAGGAAGAAAGUCCUUGUAUCACAACUUAUUUUGGGGGUUUUGAGGUAUUAUACUAGAAACCUUUCUUUUUCUUUCUUAUUUUGCAAUUGAAGCAAUACAUGGCUUGAUAGUGAUGGAUUUUAUGAAAGAUUUCAUGGUCUUGCUUAUUAACUUAUAAUUUUCAGCUAGGGUUUGUAAUUUUCAGUUGUGAUUAAGGUUUUUUAUCUAGUAUAUAAUGUUUAUGAGCUUGGAUAGGGACUUGGGGUAAUGAUUCAAGGCAUGAGUGUUAGUUUUAAACAUUGAAACAUCAAAUUUUCAGCAUUAAUGAUGAAUCUGCCCUGUUUCUGACCUGCAUAUUGGUCCAUGUUAGAGGCCGAAUCAGGUUUAGGUCAAAACAUGAAAGUUGUAGGGAAAGGAGUUAACUAUCUGCCUGUAAAUUUUCAGCUCAAUCGGAGCACUGUAGAGUAUGAAAUGACUAAAAUACCCUUGACUGCCAAAUGCCCUAUUUCGUGGGCAGCUUUCUGUUUUCUCUGAGAUUUCACAUUUUGGCCUUGAAAAUGCACGAAUUGGGUGUUGAUGUCUUCAUAAGAAAUGUAGGUCUCUGUUUUAGCUUCGAAACGCCAUAAAAUUUAUCCUAAUCCGAUAAGCGUAGCAUCAGUUGUGACCAGAACGCCGGAAGAUGACAAACCUGCUACUUACACAUUCUUCUUUAAUACUAGUUUCCAGCUUUGAUUUUGAUAGUUGCAUUGCUAGAAAUUGCCUUGUAUUGGGAUGACAUUGAAUCUAGUGAAGGGCUAUUGUAUUAAGAUUGUUUAUGUGUGAAUUUGGGCUGAGUUGAGGAAAAUAAUGAAGUCAUAAAUCGCUGAAAAAUAACUAAAUACAAAGGGCAUGCUGCCCAAAUUUCUAUUACUUACCCUUAUGAAUAUUAGUAAGAUGUAAGAUUUGAUUUUAGAGUUAAUUGGAUCUUAAAUUACAUUUGCUCACUUCAAUUUGGGAUUGGUUAUUCUUAGGGUUUGUCGGUGAUCAAGAGCAUAAUCUGGAUGGAAACUUUUGACGUUAUUUUGGCUUAGACUGGUGAGUGUUCUUUGUAUGUUGUGCUUCUAAUGCCUAUGUAGAUUGUUGUGAAUGUUUAUUUGAAUGUGAAAUACUUUCCAAGGGUUGCUAAACGAAUUUUCGAUGGGCGAGUGUGUACUUUAUCGCACUCGAUCUAAGUUAACGUGAAAUUUUCAAUGAUUAAAUGAUUGAAUGCUACUUGUGCAUGAAUGUAAGCCUCUUGGCUAAACUGGGCCCUUGCCCUUCGUUGCCAGCCGACUCGAGCCAGAAGCGGACUCGGUCGGACGGUUGGUGACCCUGGGACAGUGUUUUGGUAUACUCGAGUAUGACCACGAAGAUUGGUGGAGACUGACCAAUGAAUUGACUAGUGGCGGGAAAUGAAAUGAAUGAAUGAAUGUCAAAAACAUUGGAGGAGUUUUCACUUGCAAAUGUUUUCUAAUGUUGGAGGAAUAAGGAAAAUGGUUGGCGAACGAAUGAAUGAAUGGCUCCUCGUGAGCGUGUAUCCUUUUAUUGAGUGGGUUAUUAUUACUUUUAUAUGUUAAAUGUUUUCUGGAUUAUUUGCUAUUAAAUGAUUAAUGUUUUGGAUUUAAUUGCUCGAUUAUGUGUAUGAAACCUCACUGAGCUUUUAGUUCAUUUCUUUUGUUUUGUUUUCCAUACAGGGAAUACGAGCGAGGUAUGAGACUUGUACAGAUUAGCGUAGUCUAAUUUUUUUGAAUUUUACAAUUAUAUUCGCGCUAGUGCUCGACAGGGUUGGUUGCACCUGGAUUGUAAACACCUUGAUAUAUUUGAGUGUGUAUAAGUCUUGUAGUUAGAUUUGAGCAUCAAUGUAUAUGUUAAG